rnacentral:rRNA from 1 species
UACGUAGGGGGCAAGCGUUGUCCGGAUUUAUUGGGCGUAAAGCGCGUGUAGGCGGCCAGAUAGGUCUGCUGUGAAAACUCGAGGCUCAACCUCGAGCUGUCGGCGGAAACCAUCUGGCUAGAAUCUUGGAGAGGCGAGUGGAAUUCCGAGUGUAGAGGUGAAAUUCGUAGAUAUUCGGAAGAACACCAGUGGCGAAGGCGGCUCGCUGGACAAGUAUUGACGCUGAGGUGCGAAAGCGUGGGGAGCAAACAGG